rnacentral:lncRNA from 1 species
CAAAGGCUCCUCCCCAGCCCAGGUCACCUUGGUCACCUCCUCCGGGAAGCCUUUCAUGCCUUUCUGCUCUGGCCUCCCACUUUGGAGUGUGGCCUCUCUUACCAGCCUGCCUCCUCCCUCCCCACACCCCGUCAGUUCUCCCAGGGCAGAGGCUGUUUCCUAUUCUGCGCAGCGUUUCCGGCACCCAGCCAGGCUUAAAGUUAAUCCUAAAGAAGUGUGAUGAUGGUGGAAGCCUGUGGCCAAGACUGAUCAUUGGUGGAGAUAGUUUGGUUGUACAAUGGGUCUCUAUCUGUGAGUAGAGCCAACUUUCUUGAGAUGUGGGAACAGAAGCCCUCCUGAAUGGAUUCAACAUGACAACUUGCCUUCACCUCUCUUAGGUACUUGUCUAAGAUCCCCCUUUCUGGAAAACUCCAGCCAGAGAGCAAGUCUGAGAUUGGGAGAAGUGAAAAGCAGGAGCUCUCUCUUUGCCUGCUGCCAUCCACGUAAGAUGUGACUUGCUCCUCCUUGCCUUCUGCCACGAUUGUGAGACUUCUCCAUCCACGUGCAACUUAGCUGGAAUGAACUAAGACAAGUGGGAUAUGAAGUUGAAAGGAAGACAAAGAACAUCUUGCAGUACCUGAAGACACAGGCUACAGAAUUUGAAUUUUGUUCUAAUCUCAAUAGGAAUCUACUAUAGGGUUCUAAACAAGAGAAUGAGAACCUCUGAUUUAUUUGUUUUUAUUUUUAUGUUUAGGGCAGAGUUUCACUCUGUCACCCAGGCCGGAGUACAGAGGUGCAAUCACAUCUCACUGGAACCUCAAACUUCCAGGCUCAAGCAAUUCCCCUACCUCAGCCUGCCAAGUAGCUGGGAUGCCUGCCACCAUGCCCUGUUAAUUUUUAAUUUUUUUUGUAGAGAUGGGUCUUGCUAUGUUGCCCAGGCUGGUCUCAAACACCGGGCCUCAAGUGAUCCUCCUGCCUAGGCCUCCCAAAGCACUGGGAUUACAGAGACGAGCCACCAUGUCCAGCCUGACUUAUCUUUUUUUAUCUUUCUUUUUUUGUUAUACUUU